GGAAUAGCCAUGUAUUGAGGGUCUCGGCAGAAGCGGGGUCCCAGCAUAAAUGGUGACCAGUGCUAACUCCCUGCCUGGCUUUGCCUUUUCCAGGACGAGAGAGGGCUCCACUCCAAGAGAACCUUGAGUUGCUUCCUGCUAUUCUUCCAGCUUUAAUUUUCUGUAAAACCCAUGGCACAGCCACUCUCCUUCCUCAUAAAGGUGCCAAGGUUGCCCCCGAUGAGGCGCCGUCUGCAUGUUCCCUGCCUUCACCCAGAAGCUUCUGCCUAACAUCCACACCCCAGCAAGCAAGGCCGAUGGGGCAGCGAGGAUGAAUAAUUAGCCUCCACACCACUGGGUUCAAGCUAAUACUUGGAACCAGAUGUUGAAGGAUGUGGAACACACAUGCCUGUUGAGUGUGUCCGA
rnacentral:lncRNA from 1 species